rnacentral:lncRNA from 1 species
CGGGAGCAAUAUUAUUUAGACAUAAGGAUAGGAGGACUGAUUGCCUUUAAGCUUCUGUGCGAAUGUAAUUCAUGAUUAAUUGCUAGAGAGAAAAGACAUUGUAAACUACUAAUUAGGAGUAGACACUCUUCACUGAGACAUCGAGUUUAGGGUAAAUUAGAAAGUGGCAUUGACAUUAAUGAAGGAGUUGAAUUCGUAAAUAUAUGAGAGUGGAUAAGAUAAAGUCGGAAACCCCAACAACAUAAUUCAUCCAUAUAUCAUUCACCUGCGUAUUCUUUUGGUCAAUUGAUCAACAACUACAUUCAUGUUUAUUUUCUAUUUUUCAUUAUAAAUAAUGAUUUUC